ensembl:lncRNA
GUAGUCCCCUCUCUUCCCUUCCUGUGUAAGUUCUGGUAGUCCCCUCUCUUCCCUUCCUGUGUAAGUUCUGGUUGUCCCCUCUCUUCCCUUCCCUUCCUGUGUAAGUUCUGGUAGUCCCCUCUCUUCCCUUCCCUUCCUGUGUAAGUUCUGGUAGUCCCCUCUCUUCUCUUCCCUUCCUGUUUCUGUCCCCCUCUUCUCUUCCCUUCCUGUGUAAGUUCUGGUUGUCCCCUCUCUUCUCUUCCCUUCCUGUGUAAGUUCUGGUAGUCCCCUCUCUUCCCAUCCUGUGUAAGUUCUGGUAGUCCCCCCCUUCCUCUUCCCUUCCUGUGUAAGUUCUGGUUGUCCCCUCUCUUCCCUUCCCUUCCUGUGUAAGUUCUGGUAGUCCCCUCUCUUCCCAUCCUGUGUAAGUUCUGGUAGUCCCCUCUCUUCCCAUCCUGUGUAAGUUCUGGUAGUCCCCUCUCUUCCCUUCCCUUCCUGUGUAAGUUCUGGUAGUCCCCUCUCUUCCCUUCCCUUCCUGUGUAAGUUCUGGUAGUCCCCUCUCUUCCCUUCCCUUCCUGUGUAAGUUCUGGUAGUCCCGUCUCUUCUCUUCCCUUCCUGUGUAAGUUCUGGUAGUCCCCUCUCUUCCCUUCCCUUCCUGUGUAAGUUCUGGUAGUCCCCUCUCUUCCCUUCCUGUGUAAGUUCUGGUAGUCCCCUCUCUUCCCUUCUCUUCCCUUCCUGUGUAAGUUCUGGUUGUCCCUUCUCUUUCCUUCUCUUUCCUUCCUGUGUAAGUUCUGGUAGUCCCCUCUCUUCUCUUCCCUUCCUGUGUAAGUUAUGGUAGUCCCCUCUCUUCUCUUCCCUUCCUGUGUAAGUUAUGGUAGUCCCCUCUCUUCUCUUCCCUUCCAGUGUAAGUUCUGGUUGUCCCCUCUCUUCCCUUCCUGUGUAAGUUCUGGUUGUCCCCUCUCUUCCCUUCCUGUGUAAGUUCUGGUAGUCCCCUCUCUUCCCAUCCUGUGUAAGUUCUGGUAGUCCCCUCUCUU